GAUUGAUGCAAGGGAUGCGGCUGUUCUGCAGAGAGCACGAGAAAGGGAGGAGACGGAUGGGAGGGAAUGAGAGAAAGAGGAUAGGGAGGCGCUACUUCACAUUCCAUCUGCAGGUCAUUAUAUUUUAUGGCCCAAACUGGGUCACCGUGGCCACCAGAUCCAGUCUGUAUCCAGAUCAGAGGGUCACUGCAGUCGCCCGGAUCCAGUACGUAUCCAGACAUGAUGGUGGAUCAGCACCUAGAAAGGACCUCUACUGCCCUGAAAGACAGCGGAGACCAGGACAACUAGAGCCCCAGAUACAGAUCCCCUGUAAAGACCUUGUCUCAGAUGACCACCAGGACAAGACCACAGGAAACAGAUGAUUCUUCUGCCUAAUCUGACUUUGCUGCAGCCUGGAAUUGAUAUACUGGUUUCGUCUGGUCAGAGGAGAACUGGCCCCCCAACUGAGCCUGGUUUCUCCCAAGGUUUUUUUCUCCAUUCUGUCACCGAUGGUGUUUCGGUUCCUUGCUGCUGUCACCUCUGGCUUGCUUAGUUGGGGUCACUUCAUCUACAGCGAUAUCAUUGACUUGAUUGCAAAUAAAUGCACAGACACUAUGUAAACUGAACAGAGAUGACAUAACUGAAUUCAAUGGUGAACUGCCUUUAUCUAUCAUUUUGCAUUAUUGACACUGUUUUCCGAAUGAAUGUUGUUCAGUUGCUUUGACGCUAUAUAAAUAAAGGUGAUUUAUUGAUUGA